rnacentral:rRNA from 1 species
UACGUAGGGGGCAAGCGUUGUCCGGAAUUAUUGGGCGUAAAGAGCGUGUAGGCGGUCCGGUAAGUCAGCUGUGAAAGUCAAGGGCUCAACCCUUGAAUGCCGGUUGAUACUGGCGGGCUAGAGUCCGGAAGAGGCGAGUGGAAUUCCCGGUGUAGCGGUGAAAUGCGCAGAUAUCGGGAGGAACACCAAUGGCGAAGGCAGCUCGCUGGGACGGUACUGACGCUGAGACGCGAAAGCGUGGGGAGCAAACAGG